GGAUUGUGGCUCAGUGGCAGAGCACUUGCCUUGCAUAUAUGAGGUACUGGGUUCGAUCCUCAGCACCA
rnacentral:tRNA from 1 species